CUCUUAGAAUUUUUUAAGUAAUCUCUGCCCUAUGAUUUAUUAAAUGGCCGCAGUAUUUUGACUGUGCAAAGGUAGCAUAAUCACUUGUUUUUUAAUUGAAAACUGGAAUGAAAGAGUCGACGAAAAGUAGCCUUUUGAUUGGUGUAGUUAAAUUGACAUAAGAGUAAAAAGGCUCUGGUAGAUCAGAGGGACGAUAAGACCCUAUAAAACUUUACUUUAAAACUUUAUCCCUAAGGGCGGAGAGAGGGAAAGGUUGAACUGGGGCGGUAUUUAUAAAAACUGUAGAAAAGAAAAUAUGGAUAAUAGGUUUGAAGAACUUUACGGAAAAAAUUGAACAAGUUACUUUAGGGAUAACAGCAUAAUCUUCCUAGAGAGCCCGUAUCGGCAGGAAAGUUUAUGACCUCGAUGUUGAAUUGAAAAUUCCUUGUGUAAGCAGA
rnacentral:rRNA from 1 species